rnacentral:lncRNA from 1 species
GAUGGUUGAUCAAUGAUUAAGAAUUAUUCUAGGGUUAAACGAUCAAUAUGAUUGACAUUUAACCUAGUGCAAGCAUUGCAGGAGGAUCGAUUAGCAAUUUAAUUGCUAAUUGGCUUAAUUUGAUUAAGCCAAAGGGCUGAGAUUAAGUCUAAUUGAAUAUGAUUUAAUUAGAUUUAGUUUGGACUUGGUUGGAUCAAAUCCAAUUAGUUUAUUGGAUAAGCCAAGUGC